rnacentral:rRNA from 1 species
UACGUAGGGUGCGAGCGUUAAUCGGAAUUACUGGGCGUAAAGCGUGCGCAGGCGGUUGUGCAAGACAGAUGUGAAAUCCCCGGGCUCAACCUGGGAACUGCAUUUGUGACUGCACGGCUAGAGUGUGUCAGAGGGGGGUAGAAUUCCACGUGUAGCAGUGAAAUGCGUAGAUAUGUGGAGGAAUACCGAUGGCGAAGGCAGCCCCCUGGGAUGACACUGACGCUCAUGCACGAAAGCGUGGGGAGCAAACAGG